CUCUUCCCUCUACCUCUCUUCACCUCCCACCAACCCCAACCGCCCUUGGCUAAGUAGUUGGUUUGAAAAAGUUUGGAUUUCCUCACUGAGCUGGUCCCGCGGACAGCGGUUCUCGAGACUAGGGGACCGGGAAGGGGCGGCUGUCGAGCUCUGGCCGGGCCAGCGCUGAUGCGAGAGUUUCCGGGGAGUCCCGCCAGGUGGAGACAGGAGUCACAGCUCUAGUCAGGGAGGACAACUCGAACCCAGGGGUCGUGGUUCUAUAGCUGAGGCUCCCUCAGCAGCUUUGGCUUACUAGGGUUUACAUGUGUAGUAGGCAACGUAAAUUAACCAAUAAAUCUCUUUUAUGUGUCCCCAAGUUGUAUGUGGUCGGGUCUAAAUAUCCACAUGUUUGUAUGGAUAGGAAAUAUAAUGGGAUCCUUUCCCUCACACUGAGUUCAAACGGUAAAUAGGAAAAAGAUUUAUUUUUAUGCCCAAAUCUAAAGCAGUAAAUAAAAUCAGAAAAACUGAUCACUUCUAAACCAGCAAAGCUUUUGAGCCCGAUUUUUAGAAUCCAUCUUGAAGAAGCAGUAGGGAAACAGAACGUCCUGAGGGGCAGUAGGGUAGGACCGGGUUCUUCCUACAACCCAGAGCCCAACUCCACAGCACUUUUCUCUUCCGUCGAACCUCCGAAAAACAGAACAUACACAGCACAUUGUGUUAUCAUGCAGCAUUUCUUUCUAAACACAUUUUAUGUGGUGGACAUGAAAUUAUCCUGAUUCGGUGACCUAGUAAUUUUCUUUAAGUUCAAGGGAAACGCUGCGGUCUUUUCUUCUGUUUUGUAUUUAGAAAAGACUUGCAAUCUAACACUCGCAACAUUUUAAAGGCCCUUUAAACCCAGCAAGCGGAUUUCCGUUCUGCCAAGGCUUCCUGAUUUAUUUCAAUAAAUGAAUCUUUGAAUCCAGGAAGGGAAUUAUUCCAGGACGCUGAAUUUGGUGCCCCUGUCUCUCCCUAGUGGAGCACAAAGUGUUUCUCAUUGCAACAUGUCCUUGAAACUCACCAUUAUUCGCCUUUUUUCCUGGUAAAUGACACUUUCUUUACAUAAAUCCCCACCCUCUCUUCAGAGUCCCAGAUCUUUUUAAAAGAAAAACUGCAAGUGGCAAUAAAAAAUGAAGGGGGAAGAAAGCUGGGAAAAGAAUGCAUUUUUAACUUCUCUUUAUUUUUAUGCUAAGAUAAAGCACUUAAUUGGCAUCAGGGGCCAAGCUGAACUAUCGAUCUCCAGGACAUGCUGACACACUUGCCAACCAAGUGUGUCUGCAGGUUGGUGAGCGUAAAAUCACACAGCUCCAGAUUUUAUUGGCCACAUCAGAAUUUUCACUAUGGUCCUAUCAUUUGACACAUAUUUUAUAAGCCCUAAAUACCUUUAAAAUUCAAUCGAGAAUAAACAGAUAUUGUUAAUUAACCCCCCCCCUUUUUUUUUUGCCUUUGUCCUCUGAAAUACAAGGCAUAUUGUUACCCAAUGUAAUGAAAUGCAAACCAGACAGGAAUGAGACAUUUUCAUUGUACUUGUCAAUCAGGGCUGUGCAGACAGAUAUAUAUACUUGAACUUCAGAGACAUAGGCUGAAGUAAAUAGGGCUGAACUUGAAGGAGGCAGGCAGGGACUUGAACUAGAACUAUCAGAAUCCAGUUUGGAAUUAUAAAGGGAGUCCCUGAAAUAUAGAAAAUGCAGUGAACCACCCCACCCAAGUGGUAGGCAGUGGUCCUCAGGCAAAUCUGAGUGAAAGGCUUAUGACGAGCUGUGGCCUGCUAGGUUCUGCUGCCAUGGAAUACCUUUACCGCUCUGGGGGUGACUAGGUGUUAGCCCCCAGCUGCACUAGCAGUGGCUCCAGGUGCCAGGAGAGCAAGACACAUUGAAAGAGGACUUCUUCCUUCCUUCUAGAUCAGAACACCUUGUAGGUGGGGAGUGCCCAGGCAAGAGAAGAGGGGGAUGCAGGCAGAGGCUGAGAUACACAGUGACACAUUUGAUUUAUGUUUACAGGUCCUUCCCCAGACACCUGAAGAGAUGGGGGAAGGAGAAUCAAUUUGGAGAGCCAAGUUUGCCUGACAUUUUGGAGCACACAUUUACCCAGGACCCCAAGUUCCUUGUAGCUGCUAAAUGCUGUACUAGUUCUAAAAUGUAAAUUAGCUUCAAGGCAAGUGGAGAGAAGCCUUAGACUAUUCUGAGAUAUUUGUUCAUUCAUUUCUUUGCUUUGAGAAAGAAUCCUCCCAACGUGAUGGGAAAGAUAUCUCUGGGCCACAUUAUGGCUUCUGGCAGCAACUCUCAUCCUUAGUGCCUAGAUCUGGAGCCCCCACCAACCCUUUGUCCCCAAGUUACAUUUCCUUAGUCCAGGCCUAUUCCACCAUUUCAUCUUCUUUCUCCCUUCCUCGCUGAGGGGCAGAGGCCGCCUUUCUUUUGCCCAAGCUGAGAGGGAGAAUUCCUGAUCCCUAGGAAAAAUGCUGUCUCCACUCCCAAGGAACUUUGUGUAGUUUAGGAAUUGCAUUUUGUAAAAUCAAAUUGCCUGUUGCAAUUUGCACUUGGUUUGUGGUUAUUCAUCUAGUUAUUUCCUAGUGAGGGGGUGGGAGGAAAGGGCUUUGACAUUAAAACAAAGCAUAGGGCCUCCCUUUCCUCCCUUUUUUCUUUCCCCACCAACAAGAUAGAGUGGGAGUGAAUUAGACUAACUGCUGGUUUGGACGUGAAUGGCAGACUAUGGUCUGCAAACUGGAGGCCAAAUCUGGCCCAUAGCCUGUUGUAUUUGUAUGGCCCCAGGAG
rnacentral:lncRNA from 1 species